rnacentral:rRNA from 1 species
AUUGAACGCUGGCGGAAUGCUUUACACAUGCAAGUCGAACGGCAGCACGGACUUCGGUCUGGUGGCGAGUGGCGAACGGGUGAGUAACGUAUCGGAACGUGCCCAGUCGUGGGGGAUAACGUAGUGAAAAUUACGCUAAUACCGCAUACGAUCUAUGGAUGAAAGCGGGGGAUCGCAAGACCCUGAGCGAUUGGAGCGGCCCAUAUCAGAUUAGGUAGUUGGUGGGGUAAAGGCCCACCAAGCCAACGAUCUGUAGCUGGUCUGAGAGGAAGACCAGCCACACUGGAACUGAGACACGGUCCAGACUCCUAAGGGAGGCAGCAGUGGGGAAUUUUGGACAAUGGGCGAAAGCCUGAUCCAGCCAGUCCGCGUGCAGGAUGAAGGCCCUCGGGUUGUAAACUGCUUUUGUACAGAACGAAAAGGUUUCUACUAAUACUAGGAGCUCAUGACGGUACUGUAAGAAUAAGCACCGGCUAACUACGUGCCAGCCGCCGCCGUAA